UGCCCAUCUAGGGCGAAGAUACUCUGAUUGCAUAAGCUCCAAAGUUUUAAAACGUCUUUGUGGCUCAAGAAACAAACAAGUGUGGAAACUCAAGUGGAAAUUCCAGGUCUGAAAGGAGGAAACACUGAAGUUCAGAGAGGUGAGGCGACUGCUCUCACAACAAACGGCAAGAGACUCCAUCCCAGGACUCCCGAAUCCUCUUCUAUUACAAGAACCCACUCCCAGUCCAUGGAGUUGGAGAGCCGUAUUGUCUCCCGGCAAGCAGAGAAAGCAUCCGGCAAACAGAUUAACACCUGGAGAGCCGGGAAGACGUAGAUUUACUCUACUGGGCCCUCUCAAGCGCUUAGAGCAGUGCCCUGUACACAGUAAGUAGUCAAGGGAUAUUGUUGGAUUGAUUACAUGAUUGGUUGCAGGAGAGGAAAGGCUCGAAUCAGGUAACCCGCCCCGUUGCUCAUUCCUCUUUCUUCUACGGUCGCCAUUGUCCCUCCAGUCUUGUCUUUCCUGCCGUCUGGACGGGCGGCCGUCUUUGAGCCCUCCUGGACAGGAGAGGAAGGGCCAAUUCGACCCCCGAGGGGCCCAAGUUGACCACCGGAUUAGUUAGCAUUCAUUCACGGUAUUGCUUAAUAAAUGCCAGUCAGUCAAUCGCAUUGAUUUAACACUUACUGUGUGCAAUGCACUG